AUAAAACUUAGAUUCGAAAAUGUAAAAUACAUGCUACUUAUAGAGAAAUAUUCCGAAACCCUAAUACUCAAAACGACGCAGUAUUGGGACGGAUUAAGAACGAUACUCAACUCAGGUGGUCGAGUGAAUGGUCGAGUGAUAAGCUGGAGUCUUCUUCUCUUCCUUGUGCUCGAUUGUCUGGUUGAGUGCGGAAUGGAGAAGACUCUGAAGCUGGCAGUCGAGUAAGGACGUCGAGUGAAUGAUGAUAAGGGACUCGACCAUGUGGUAGAGUGAUUGGUCGAGUGGAUGGUGGCUGUAGUACUCGACUUGGUGGUAGAGUGAUUGGUCGAGUGAAUGAUGAUGGUGAUACUCGGCCAUAUUGGUAGAGUGAUUGCUCGAGUCAAUGAUGAUGGUGAUACUCUGCCAUGUUGGUAGAGUGAUAGGUCGAGUGAAUGAUGAUGGUGAAGGCAGCUACUCGACCAAGGGGUCGAGUGGUGUUGUGAAGUGGGGAAGUCGUCUACUCGACCUUGUGGUCGAGUGGUGGAUAGAAUGUCGUGGUCGAGUGAUUUGCUGUAGAGGUUGUGGUCAAGUACUUCAGGAACUUCAGGAUGACUGUUAAUACAACUCUCUUGUUUAUGACAUAACUCAGCACCUCUAUUUAUAUGAAAACUCUAGUCCUAAUCCUACUAGGAAAACAUAUAUUAAGAUAACUCCUAAAGAGAUUUGAGAUUAUCACUUCCUAAACCAUAACUCGGUUAGGAUCUAAACCAUAACUCGGUUU
rnacentral:sRNA from 1 species